rnacentral:rRNA from 1 species
AUGGGGUGCAGCAGGCGAGAAAACUUUGCAAUGUGCGAAAGCACGACAAGGUUAAUCCGAGUGAUUUCUGCUAAAGAAAUCUUUUGCCAGUCAUAAAACCACUGGUGAAUAAGGGGUGGGCAAGUUCUGGUGUCAGCCGCCGCGGUAAAACCAGCACCUCAAGUGGUCAGGAUGAUUAUUGGGCCUAAAGCAUCCGUAGCCGGCUUUGUUAGUUUUCGGUUAAAUCCAUGUGCUCAACGCAUGGGCUGCCGAAAAUACUGCAUAGCUAGGGAGUGGGAGAGGUAGACGGUACUCAGUAGGAAGGGGUAAAAUCCUUUGAUCUAUUGAUGACCGCCUGUGGCGAAGGCGGUCUACCAGAACACGUUCGACGGUGAGGGAUGAAAGCUGGGGGAGCAAACCGGAUUAGAUACCCGGGUAGUCCCAGCUGUAAACGAUGCAGACUCGAUGAUGCAUUGGCAUAAUAGCCAGUGCAGUGUCGCAGGGAAGCCGUUAAGUCUGCCGCCUGGGAAGUACGUACGCAAGUAUGAAACUUAAAGGAAUUGGCGGGGGAGCAC